UACAGUGGGGGCAAGCGUUAUUCGGAAUUAUUGGGCGUAAAGGGCGCGUAGGCGGCUUUGCAAGUGACGGGUGAAAUCCCUCGGCUUAACCGAGGAACUGCCUGUCAGACUGUGAGGCUUGAGACCGGGAGAGGUGAGUGGAAUUCCCAGUGUAGCGGUGAAAUGCGUAGAUAUUGGGAGGAACACCAGUGGCGAAGGCGGCUCACUGGACCGGAACUGACGCUGAGGCGCGAAAGCGUGGGGAGCAAACAGG
rnacentral:rRNA from 1 species